rnacentral:tRNA from 2 species
UCCUGGUUAGCUCAGUUGGUAAGGCACUCCACUGGAAAUGGAGAGGUUCCUAGUCUGACACCAGGACCAGGCU